rnacentral:rRNA from 1 species
UAAUACGUAGGGUGCAAGCGUUAAUCGGAAUUACUGGGCGUAAAGCGUGCGCAGGCGGUUUUGUAAGUCUGUCGUGAAAGCCCCGGGCUCAACCUGGGAAUUGCGAUGGAGACCGCAAGGCUUGAAUCUGGCAGAGGGGGGUAGAAUUCCACGUGUAGCAGUGAAAUGCGUAGAGAUGUGGAGGAACACCGAUGGCGAAGGCAGCCCCCUGGGUCAAGAUUGACGCUCAUGCACGAAAGCGCGGGAGCAAACAGGAUUAGAUACCCUGGUAGUCCACGCCCUAAACGAUGUCUACUAGUUGUCGGGUUUUAAUUAACUUGGUAACGCAGCUAACGCGUGAAGUAGACCGCCUGGGGAGUACGGUCGCAAGAUUAAAACUCAAAGGAAUUGACGGGGACCCGCACAAGCGGUGGAUGAUGUGGAUUAAUUCGAUGCAACGCGAAAAACCUUACCUACCCUUGACAUGUCAGGAAGUCCGGAGAGAUCUGGAUGUGCCCGAAAGGGAGCCUGAACAC